rnacentral:rRNA from 1 species
GGAUCGAUUUACUGGUCGUGCCUAUGGUACGUACUGGUUUUGUUUUCCGAAGAGCCGCGAUGUCAUUAAUUUGGUGUUGCGGGGAAUCGGGACUGUUACUUUGAAAAAAUUAGAGUGUUUAAAACAGGCUAACGCUUGAAUACAUUAGCAUGGAAUAAUGAAAUAGGACGAUUGAUCCUAUUUUGUUGGUUUAUAGGAUCGACGUAAUGAUUAAUAGGGAUAGUUG